UACGUAGGGGGGCAAGCGUUGUCCGGAAUCAUUGGGCGUAAAGAGCGUGUAGGCGGCCAGAUAAGUCCGCUGUGAAAUCUCGAGGCUCAACUUCGAGCUGUCGGUGGAAACUGUCUGGCUAGAGUCCGGAAGAGGAGAAUGGAAUUCCUGGUGUAGCGGUGAAAUGCGCAGAUAUCAGGAAGAACACCCGCUGGCGGAAGGCGGUUCUCUGGGACGGUACUGACGCUGAGACGCGAAAGCGUGGGGAGCGAACAGG
rnacentral:rRNA from 1 species